GACGAACGCUGGCGGCGUGCUUAACACAUGCAAGUCGAACGGAAAGGCCCUGCUUUUGUGGGGUGCUCGAGUGGCGAACGGGUGAGUAACAAGUGAGUAACCUGCCCUUGACUUUGGGAUAACUUCAGGAAACUGGGGCUAAUACCGGAUAGGAGCUCCUGCUGCAUGGUGGGGGUUGGAAAGUUUCGGCGGUUGGGGAUGGACUCGCGGCUUAUCAGCUUGUUGGUGGGGUAGUGGCUUACCAAGGCUUUGACGGGUAGCCGGCCUGAGAGGGUUACCGGCCACAUUGGGACUGAGAUACGGCCCAGACUCGUACGGGAGGCAGCAGGGGGGAAUAUUGCACAAUGGGCGGAAGCCUGAUGCAGAAACGCCGCGUGCGGGAUGACGGCCUUCGGGUUGUAAACCGCUUUCGCCUGUGACGAAGCGUGAGUGACGGUAAUGGGUAAAGAAGCACCGGCUAACUACGUG
rnacentral:rRNA from 1 species